GCAAGUCGAACGGUUGAGAGGUGGGAGUUGAGAGGUUAGAAGUGGGAAAAGAAAAAGUCUCACAUCCAACUUCUCACAUCUCACUUCUCAAUAGUGGCGGACGGGUGAGUAACGCGUGGGUAACCUGCCCUUAACACCGGGACAACAGCGGGAAACUGCUGCUAAUACCGGAUAAUCUCAAGAGAAGGCAUCUUCUUUUGAGGAAAGGUGGCCUCUGAAUAUGCUACCGAUUAAGGAUGGACCCGCGUCUGAUUAGCUAGUUGGUAGGGUAGCGGCCUACCAAGGCGACGAUCAGUAGCCGGCCUGAGAGGGUGACCGGCCACACUGGGACUGAGACACGGCCCAGACUCCUACGGGAGGCAGCAGUGGGGAAUCUUCCGCAAUGGGCGAAAGCCUGACGGAGCAACGCCGCGUGAAUGAAGAAGGCCUUCGGGUCGUAAAGUUCUGUUGAAAGGGAAGAAGUCUCUUUAUGCGAAUAGUGUAAAGAGGUGACGGUACCUUUUGAGGAAGCUCCGGCUAACUACGUG
rnacentral:rRNA from 1 species